rnacentral:misc_RNA from 1 species
AAAACUCAUCGCAACCAUCCAUGUGGUGGUUGUACGGUGGAACUGGCUGUCCUGCCGACCCUCGUACAUGUACAGGAGAAGCGGGUCAGCUGAAGCGAAGCUGUUGCUGAUGGACCCUGCUAUGGGCCUCUACUGGGUAGGCAACUCGUUUGCUGUAAUGCUUUAGUAGGUGGCUUUGGGACUGUGAGCAGCACAAACCAGGAAUGCUCUUCAUUGAGCAUAAACCCUCCUUUUCUC